rnacentral:tRNA from 3 species
GGGCUCUUAGCUCAGCGGUUUAGAGCGCUCGCCUCACACGCGAGAGGUCCCUGGUUCAAAUCCAGGAGGGCCCACCA